rnacentral:antisense_RNA from 1 species
CUUGAGGGAUCCGAGGAACAGGGGCUUGCUUGUCGUGCGGUCGCGUCCGUAGGUGGCGAGCAGGGCCUGUGCCUC